rnacentral:tRNA from 1 species
AGGGAUGUAGCGCAGCUUGGUAGCGCUCCUGUUUUGGGAACAGGAGGUCGCAGGUUCAAAUCCUGUCAUCCCUACACCACC